UAUUGUAUCAUAACAAGACCUAAAUCAAUGGACUACUUAUUCUCUAUAUAUAAGUGAGGUUAUUUAGUCAUCAAAUCAAUGUGCAUGGUUCCACUCUCGCCGUCCCUCAGCUCUGCAAAUCAUUUGCUUUAUUUUCUACAUGUCUUGGACUAAGCAUCACGUUGAAUUGAGGAGCUUCCCAGUGUAUUCGGAAACUGGUCAUUCUACGUUACCUUAAUCUACAUGUUUUUGUGUUUGGACAAAUGAGGAAAUGAUUCUGAUUUUUAUUGUUUUGGUAUAUUGGUUCAUGUUUGAGUGUGAAAAUAUUUGCAGGGUUAACCAUAAUCCGUUGUAGCUUCUUAAUAUUGAUUUGGA